AUUCAUGGCACAGUCAAGGCUGAGGACUCUGGGAAAAUAUCCAGCCUGCUCCCACAAGAACAGGAGUACUGGUAAGUCACUCUUUCUGAUGGUAUCCCUAGGGCUCAAACACUUGGUCCUUGCUAGUCCCACGGGGGAGCUCUGGUUUGUCCUUUGUUUUUAUUUUCAUAAAGGAUCUACGGGAGUUAUGGGGACAGGUCUGACACCCAACAUUUGGCUACACAAAUUUCAGGUCUUUUUUUUGACACAACUCUGGCUGACCUAGAAUUUAUUCUGGUCUCAAACUCAGCGUGCC
rnacentral:lncRNA from 1 species